UUGAUCUUUUCUAUUUUGCAAUCACUCACAGAGGGUGGGGCAGGAGGAAGAGUGAAGGAAAAGGUCAA
ensembl:misc_RNA